rnacentral:rRNA from 1 species
CCCGCGGCCAUGGCGGCCG